AGAAAUAACUGGGGGCAUGGAGAAUGCGGUGGCUGUAAAGGGCCGCUGAGGCGGUGGAGGCCUGGCAGAGAGCGUCCCCGCGGUCGCGGCUUCUGGCUUCUCUGUGGAGCUUGGUUCUUCCGUGGUGGUGCAGCACCCCAGGAACUUCAGGAACCAGUCCUUCCUUGGAGAGCUCCCCGGGACAGCCACGGGGGCCAAGUGAAACUAGCGCGUUUUCUUGGAUCCUACACUUUAUAGUGAGUCAUAAAUACUUUAAAUACAAAGCCAACAACAUUUGCUGCAAAUAAACGUAAAAAUACUGUUAAAGUGUAAAGUGUUUUCCUCCGUACCAUCUGACGUUUCUGGCGGUUCGUUGAACGCGAGAGAACGCUGAGCCGUCUGCACUGAGCCCGGGAGCAUCUUCAGGGCAGCGCCGCCCACGCGCGAGGUGAAUGAAGGACACGGCCUCUUGACACUCCCAGGCAGCACAGAUAGACGGAUCCGUCUCUGCCCUUGAUCACAUCAGCAGAAUCCUUUUGCCAUUGGCUAGAAGUGACCCCAGGAUUUUUUUAUUAUCAAGAGAGACUAGAAGAAUCAUGAGACUUUUCCUAGUUGCCUUUCAAGAAUAUGAAGAAAAAAAUGGUUCUCAAAGUGGGUUUGAAUGAGUAUUGUUCCAAUAAAUGAACUUAUAUUCAUAUUUCA
rnacentral:lncRNA from 10 species